rnacentral:lncRNA from 1 species
GGGGCGCCUCACCCUGCCUUCCCCAUGGACAGUCCAGCAAUGUCUGCUUCCACUCCCCCUGUGUUUCCAGACCCAGAGAGUGAAGCAAAGCCAGAAUCAACCACCACACUAGAUAAAUAGCCAUUACUGUGACGAUGGAAUGCUGUCAGUGAGCAGCAUGGAAGAUGCAGAGAGAGUGGCGGUCAGGUGGUGGUGGAGACAGGGAGAGUAUGUGGCCUGGAGAUUAACAAACAGAACACCAAUAAUCUUGUGACCUCCAUGCACCCUUCCUAAUGUCAAUAAAGUUGUCUUAUCAUGCCCAAAA